rnacentral:rRNA from 1 species
UACGACGGGGGCUAGCGUUGCUCGGAAUUACUGGGCGUAAAGGGAGCGUAGGCGGGUCGUCAAGUUGGGGGUGAAAGCCCAGGGCUCAACCUUGGAAUUGCCUUCAAAACUGACGAUCUAGAGUAUGGAAGAGGUAAGUGGAACUCCGAGUGUAGAGGUGAAAUUCGUAGAUAUUCGGAAGAACACCAGUGGCGAAGGCGACUUACUGGUCCAUGACUGACGCUGAGGCUCGAAAGCGUGGGGAGCAAACAGG